GGGGCUGUAGCUCAGUGGCAGAGUGCUUGCCUUGCACAUAUGAGGUACUGAGUUCAAUCCUCAGCACCA
rnacentral:tRNA from 1 species